rnacentral:rRNA from 1 species
GACGAACGCUGGCGGCGUGCUUAACACAUGCAAGUCGAGCGAGAAACCUUCGGGUUUCUAGCGGCGGACGGGUGAGUAACACGUGGGUAACCUGCCUCAAAGAGGGGAAUAGCCUCCCGAAAGGGAGAUUAAUACCGCAUAAUAUUACAGCUUCGCAUGAAGCAGUAAUUAAAGGAGUAAUCCGCUUUGAGAUGGACCCGCGGCGCAUUAGCUAGUUGGAGAGGUAACGGCUCACCAAGGCGACGAUGCGUAGCCGACCUGAGAGGGUGAUCGGCCACAUUGGAACUGAGACACGGUCCAGACUCCUACGGGAGGCAGCAGUGGGGAAUAUUGCACAAUGGCGAAAGCCUGAUGCAGCAACGCCGCGUGAGUGAUGACGGUCUUCGGAUUGUAAAGCUCUGUCUUUUGGGACGAUAAUGACGGUACCAAAGGAGGAAGCCACGGCUAACUUCGUGCCAGCCGCCGCGGUAA